rnacentral:snRNA from 2 species
GCGCUUGCUUCAGCAGUACCUAUACUAAAAUUGCAAUGAUACACAGAAGAUUGGCCGGGCCUCUGUGCAAGGAGGACAUGCAAAUUCGUGGAACAUUCCAUAUUUUU